UACGUAGGGAGCGAGCGUUGUCCGGAAUUACUGGGCGUAAAGGGUGCGUAGGCGGUUGUUUAAGUCAGAUGUGAAAAGCCCGGGCUUAACCCGGGAGGUGCAUCUGAUACUGGACGGCUCGAGUGCAGGAGAGGAAAGCGGAAUUCCUAGUGUAGCGGUGAAAUGCAUAGAUAUUAGGAGGAACACCAGAGGCGAAGGCGGCUUUCUGGACUGCAACUGACGCUGAGGCACGAAAGCGUGGGGAGCAAAC
rnacentral:rRNA from 1 species